GCACGGGGCUGCCCAGAGAUUAAGCCUACAGGGUGUGACCUUUCUGGAGAAAUCAGGGAAUUUGCUGUGGCUGUCGCUUGCUCUGGACACACAGAAAGGCAAAGGCAGGGCGUGAGUCCUUAUCGCUCACUGCGCGUAAUCACAGAGGCAGAGUUUACCCAGAGCAAGGCCAACACUUAGCGUGUCGCUGGGCACCCAGGAGUCUUAUCGCGGAGUGAUAAAUCUGUUUCCUAGUGGCUGAGUAAACUCUGUGUGUCAUGGUUUCAAAUGGGGGGGGGGGCAGUGAAGGCAAACACCCACACGGCUCACUCAUUCAGGGGCUCUGCUGAGACAGAGGAAGCAGCCGAUAAGCUUGGAAAAUGCGAGUUGCAGAACGAGAUCCAGUCUAACAACAGCCUGCACCCUGACACCUUGACCCUCAGAAGGAAGAGGCAGGAAAGACAUACAGUACAGCUCAGAAGACAUUCUGCUGUGGACGACCAGAAACAGUGGUCGAAAUAAAGCUAAUCAACAUGAAUAAAUAGAAAAUACAA